UACGUAGGGGGCGAGCGUUGUCCGAAGUUACUGGGCGUAAAGCGCGCGUAGGCGGUUUCUUAAGUCUGGUGUGAAAGGUUCAGGGCUCAACCCGAACAGUGCACUGGAUACUGGGAGACUUGAGUAUGGGAGAGGAGAGCGGAAUUCCUGGUGUAGCGGUGAAAUGCGUAGAUAUCAGGAGGAACACCUGCGGCGAAGGCGGGUUGCUGGGCCGACACUGACGCUGAGGCGCGAAAGCCAGGGGAGCGAACGGG
rnacentral:rRNA from 1 species